GUACCUGACUAAGAAGCCCCGGCUAACUACGUGCCAGCAGCCGCGGUAAUACGGAAGGUCCGGGCGUUAUCCGGAUUUAUUGGGUUUAAAGGGAGCGUAGGCCGGAGAUUAAGCGUGUUGUGAAAUGUAGAUGCUCAACAUCUGAACUGCAGCGCGAACUGGUUUCCUUGAGUACGCACAAAGUGGGCGGAAUUCGUGGUGUAGCGGUGAAAUGCUUAGAUAUCACGAAGAACUCCGAUUGCGAAGGCAGCUCACUGGAGCGCAACUGACGCUGAGGCUCGAAGGUGCGGGUAUCGAACAGGAUUAGAUACCCUGGUAGUCCGCACGGUAAACGAUGGAUGCCCGCUGUUGGUCUGAAUAGGUCAGCGGCCAAGCGAAAGCAUUAAGCAUCCCACCUGGGGAGUACGCCGGCAACGGUGAAACUCAAAGGAAUUGACGGGGGCCCGCACAAGCGGAGGAACAUGUGGUUUAAUUCGAUGAUACGCGAGGAACCUUACCCGGGCUUGAAUUGCAGAGGAAGGAUUUGGAGACAAUGACGCCCUUCGGGGCCUCUGUGAAGGUGCUGCAUGGUUGUCGUCAGCUCGUGCCGUGAGGUGUCGGCUUAAGUGCCAUAACGAGCGCAACCCCUCUCCUUAGUUGCCAUCAGGUGAAGCUGGGCACUCUGGGGACACUGCCACCGUAAGGUGUGAGGAAGGUGGGGAUGACGUCAAAUCAGCACGGCCCUUACGUCCGGGGCUACACACGUGUUACAAUGGCAGGUACAGAGAGACGGUCCCUUGCAAAAUGGAUCAAAUCCUUAAAGCCUGUCUCAGUUCGGACUGGGGUCUGCAACCCGACCCCACGAAGCUGGAUUCGCUAGUAAUCGCGCAUCAGCCAUGGCGCGGUGAAUACGUUCCCGGGCCUUGUACACACCGCCCGUCAAG
rnacentral:rRNA from 1 species